GACGAACGCUGGCGGCGUGCUUAACACAUGCAAGUCGAACGAGAUCCAUGGAGUAGCAAUACUCCGGAAGAUCUAGUGGCGAACGGGUGAGUAACACGUGAGCAACCUGCCCCAAAGACUGGGAUAACCCCGGGAAACCGGAACUAAUACCGGAUGUCCUCGUCGGAUCGCAUGGUCUGAUGAGGAAAUGAAUUUCGCUUUGGGAGGGGCUCGCGGGAUAUCAGCNGUUGGUGGGGUAACGGCCUACCAAGGCUUCGACGUCUAGCUGGUCUGAGAGGACGAUCAGCCACACUGGGACUGAGACACGGCCCAGACUCCUACGGGA
rnacentral:rRNA from 1 species